rnacentral:rRNA from 1 species
GACGAACGCUGGCGGCGUGCUUAACACAUGCAAGUCGAACGGAAAGGCCCUGCUUUUGUGGGGUGCUCGAGUGGCGAACGGGUGAGUAACACGUGAGUAACCUGCCCUUGACUUUGGGAUAACUUCAGGAAACUGGGGCUAAUACCGGAUAGGAGCUCCUGCUGCAUGGUGGGGGUUGGAAAGUUUCGGCGGUUGGGGAUGGACUCGCGGCUUAUCAGCUUGUUGGUGGGGUAGUGGCUUACCAAGGCUUUGACGGGUAGCCGGCCUGAGAGGGUGACCGGCCACAUUGGGACUGAGAUACGGAGCAGACUCCUACGGGAGGCAGCAGUGGGGAAUAUUGCACAAUGGGCGGAAGCCUGAUGAAGCAACGCCGCGUGCGGGAUGACGGCCUUCGGGUUGUAAACCGCUUUCGGCUGUGACGAAGCGUGAGUGACGGUAAUGGGUAAAGAAGCACCAGCUAACUACGUG